rfam:Homo sapiens chromosome 17, GRCh38 reference primary assembly.
GCCUGGCCAGCAGCACAUAUAUUAAAACUGGAAUAAUACAGGGAAGAUUAGCAGAAGGAUGACAUGCAAAUUUGUGAAGCGUUCCAUAUUAAA